rnacentral:rRNA from 1 species
UUGCAGGCUGCAACUCGCCUGCAUGAAGUCGGAAUUGCUAGUAAUCGUAGGUCAGCAUACUACGGUGAAUACGUUCCCGGGCCUUGUACACACCGCCCGUCAAACCAUGAGAGUCGGGAACACCCGAAGUCCGUAGCCUAACCGCAAGGGGGGCGCGGCCGAAGGUGGGCUCGAUAAUUGGGGUGAAGUCGUAACAAGGUACC